CAUGAUGAAGAAAAUUCUUAUCGUAGUAGGAACGCACAUGGGCAAGGCGGCGUAGCCGCCGGGCGAGAGCCACUCAUGUGCGAAAGACAGGCUCCCACCGGGGGCCUUUUUUAUUGGCCAGAC
rnacentral:sRNA from 1 species